rnacentral:rRNA from 1 species
AUUGAACGCUGGCGGAAUGCUUUACACAUGCAAGUCGAACGGUAGAGGGGGCAACCCCCUUGAGAGUGGCGAACGGGUGAGUAAUAUAUCGGAACGUGCCCAGUCGUGGGGGAUAACGUAGCGAAAGCUACGCUAAUACCGCAUACGAUCUAUGGAUGAAAGCGGGGGAUCGCAAGACCUCGCGCGAUUGGAGCGGCCGAUAUCAGAUUAGGUAGUUGGUGAGGUAAAGGCUCACCAAGCCGACGAUCUGUAGCUGGUCUGAGAGGACGACCAGCCACACUGGGACUGAGACACGGCCCAGACUCCUACGGGAGGCAGC